rnacentral:lncRNA from 1 species
AGCGUGGAGGGCGGACUGGCCGGGGUCCUCGCGGCCAGGUCGAGCUGGGGCCCCGGGAGGAGGCGGGAAGCCCGACUGCUCGCCGCCUCUCGCUGCCCAGGGUCGAUGCCAGGCUCUGGCCCGGGGGCCCGCAGCUCCCAGCCUUUCUCGGCCACGACUGCAGGUCCCUGGGCCAUGGCUGGAUACGCAGAAGUUCACAGGAGCAGGUGGAGUUGGGGCAGUUGGCCCAAGAGGAGGACUCCAAAGCAAGAUACUGAGAGAUUCACCACCAGCGCCAGCCCCUGGAGCAGAGGCCUAAACAUCUCCAGUCUUUGCCUGAACCUGCUGUCACCAUGGAUUCCAGCAGAGCCUCCUCAGAGUGGAGACAGCCCCGGAAGACACAGCCACCUCACAGAGACCAAGCUGUCCCCACAGUGAGAAGGAUUUCACUGGAGCUGCAAACCAGACCGAGGCAGUGAUCAGCAGGCCCUGGCCUGCUCAGCACCCCUCUGUGGCGGGCUGCUCCUCUUCGGACAGGCCAGCCUGGCUUCCUUUGUCAGGAGCUGAAGUCCUCCCUCUGUUUGCUCUCACUCUCCUUUGUCAAGGGACCAUCUCAUCCUUGACUUUUCUCCCCCUCAAGCCAAAGUCCCUUCUUAUUCUCUGUAACUUUCCAAUUAAAGCUUGGCUGUAAAUCCCUGGUGUUGCCUCAGUGUUAAUUUCCAUGCUCACUGAAGGAGGACCCACACUAGCCAGCGACCUCU